CAAAGCUGCAGAGGUGAGAAAGCUCAGUAGGAGAACCUGUUUCAGGAACAAACAAGGCCACAGAAGGAAAUCCUCCUAGGGUAUUCGAACUAAUUUAGUGAGAGCAAUAGCUUUUUAUUUGCAGGAAGAACAGGUGUUUCCCCAGAAGAAAACCUGCAGAGUCACCUUGCUGAGCCAACAUACAAUUGGAAAAUGGCAAAAACUGGAUUACUGAAGAGUAAUUCAGCAGGAAGCAUGUUUUCAACAAGUUGGUGAGUACUUGAAUCUACGAACUCGACUUGCAUAAGAUCCUGAGGGCUCCAUUUUGGAAGCUAACCAAAAAACACACACAUACACAGAAAACCCAGGAACGCUUUUGGCCAAGUUGUCACUGUGGGAAAAGAGAUUGGAAACAGACAAAUAUGAACAACCCUUCCUAUACUGGAGGAGAUUUUCCUGGCUGUAUUCAAGAGUGAUGAAACUUGUCAAUUUCUCACAAAGCAAAAAUCUACAGACACCUAGAAACACUGCAGCACUUCUCCAAAUGUUAGUUAUACUCAUUUGACUUUAAAAUUGAAAUCUGAAUUUUCAACCAUUUUUUUCUUUUGCUGACUUAUACAGCAUUGGUAAUGCAGACUUAGCAAAGAUAACCAAAUUCAUUGACCUGAGGACAUGGGAAAUGAUGCAACCGGAUCAGCUUGAAGAGUCCUAGAGCAAUCCACUGUGUCUUGAAAUAAGCCUUUCCAUUUGCCACACCCUAGUUUGUUAAUCAUGUCUUUCUUUCACUUGUUGCUCUCAAAAUUAAAAGUAAAAUUGAUAGAAUAGCACAAAUGACAAACAUUAUGAUGUAAAGACUGUUCCACAAUUUCUUCUCUUCAAGUCAAACAAUGGCAGCCUUCUCAUUUACAUUUGCU